rnacentral:lncRNA from 1 species
UUUUUUUUGGUAUUUUGUCUGGAGAAUGACAUGCAUUAUGAUGCGAUGCAAAUGCAAUGGAAUGCGAAUGAAUGCAAUGCAAGCCAUGCACAUUUGUUUUUUUUUUUUAUACACGGGUUCAAAAGUCCGAGGUACUGAUAAAUUUGAUUGCUUUUCCAAAACGGGGUUCUCACCGGGUAUGAUCUAGGGUUACAAAGGUUCC